GCUGAGGUGGCUGAAUCUGGUCAAGGCGGAGAUCUGAUGAAUCUCUACGUUACCCAACGUAUGCGGGUUCAAAUCCCGUCCUCAGCG
rnacentral:tRNA from 1 species